CGCGUUCUAAUAUAUUCAGAUAUGCCGCAUGACACAGAGGGUGAUGACCAGCGCAUAAGUGAAGUCAACAAUCAAGAGUUAUCGUCACCACCGAAAAGG